AAUCUGUCAAAAAAGGGUAGAAGUUUUAGAGAACUGUGUUGUAUCGUGGCCACUAAGUCAAAACUGUGAAGAGAGUGCUGUCAAGCAUCAGUCAGUCAAUGACUUGCAUGACUAACCAUUUAACUGCAAAUAAAUUUGCCAUUACUUUCAGAUUUUGAAUUUCUAUGUAUAAAUUUUAUUAUUCUAUUAUAAUUGUAAAUAUGUAAAUUUGCAAUUCAGCGUUAGAGAUGCAAUAUUUUUUACCAAAAAAACAAUCUAUCAUUAUCUAUCUAUCAAACUUGGGACAAUUAUAGUAAUGGUAGUUUUAAUGAAACUUCGGCAUCUAUGAAAGAUAAGGCCGCAAUCUAAUAAUCUUGCUAUUGCCAUUAUUAACAGAAGCAAGCCUCGUCAUUAUACAGUACAUUGCUUUCCUGUAGCGGGGCAUUUAUCCUUGCCAUGUUUGUAUCCACACUUUCCACAUAUUUGGGCUGGUGUCUUGUUUUGCCCUUUGUAUUUUUUCGAUUGCUCCUUCGAUCUUGACUGUAUCUUGAACACACUAGGGUCUUCCUCUGUCAUUGUUUUUGUAGUGUUAGCCAUUUUGGGUACCCUGUGGUACCUGCCUCGUUUUGAGGUAAUAAAGAUGUUGUUGAUAUCCAAUAUGGCCGUCUCGUGUUGGCUUGUGUCAGUGUGCAGGAAUCUACUUCCAUCGUCGUUAAGAAAACACUACAGUUUUGAGCUGUAUCUGUGAUUGCUCCAUUGUAAUGUAAUAACAUUACAAUUAAUUGUAAUUGCUUUUUCUAGUGCCGCAAUCUUUGACUAGAAGCUUGAGAUCUGUCAAGAAUUGUUCAAACGGCACAUUUGCGUCUUUGUGUGGAAUUUAUAUCUGGAGAAGAUUCUGUUGGACUUGGGCUUCACAUACGCUUCGUACUUAUCGUAGUAAGUUUUUAGCUUUUUUUCGUCUCCUUCUUCCAGAGUCCACGUCUGAAAUAUAUCACGGCCCUUCUCACCUACCCAGAUCAUGAGAUAGUUGCAUUUUUGUUCCUCGGACUUCGACUGCAAAGGACCACCAAACAUAAACUGUGCGUGACGUUUGAACGACGUCCAUGCCAUUGGCAAGUCUUUACUUGUCCAAUCCAUUCUAGGCGUAUUUGAGUUCGAAAUUCCUUCCAUCUUCUCAUCAGUGUCUGCUUUACACUUUUCUCUGGCUUAUUCCGUUUGGAUUCAGGGAGGAUGGGUUCUUUUUCCUUGUGGUUUCACAGGAUUUUGUCUAACACCAUGUAAUGUCGUGUACGAGUCGCCAUAUUGGAAUUCAAAACUGCUCUAUUCCCAAGAAGCAUUGCGAUACAUUGGUGAUGGUGACAUACAUUACAAAUACAUCCAUGUAUCACCAUCAAUGCAGAGCUUCAAUGUGUAAUCAAUACUUACAUGUAUCACCAUCAAAGCAGAGCUUCAAUGUGUAAUCAAUACUUACAUGUAUCACCAUCAAAGCAGAGCUUCAAUGUGUAAUCAAUACUUACAUGUAUCACCAUCAAUGCAGAGCUUCAAUGUGUAAUCAAUACUUCCAUGUAUCACCAUCAAUGCAGAGCUUCAAUGUGUAAUCAAUACUUACAUGUAUCACCAUCAAUGCAGGGCUUCAAUGUGUAAUCAAUACUUACAUGUAUCACCAUCAAUGCAGAGCUUCAACGUGUAAUCAAUACUUACAUGUAUCACCAUUAAUGCAGAGCUUCAAUGUGUAAUCAAUACUUACGUGUAUCACCAUCAAAGCAGAGCUUCAAUGUGUAAUCAAUACUUCCAUGUAUCACCAUCAAUGCAGAGCUUCAAUGUGUAAUCAAUACUUACAUGUAUCACCAUCAAUGCAGAGCUUCAAUGUGUAAUCAAUAACUUACCUUGUGAGCAAGAGAGACGAUCCAAGGCCUCUUAUCUCUGUUGGUAUUGGCCUGUCAAAAACAAUUACUACAAUGUAGUGUGUAACGGCAGCCACUAAACACAUUCAAUACCCUGAGGGGGGUAGGGGAGGUCAAGCACAAUUCAACAGACAAAAUUGAUGUUCUAUUACGAGUGGAAUAACAUGCAGAAAGUGAAUGAAUUGACACCUCAACCGGCCUGUACCGGACGAAAGGAGUACCCACAAACCAAAUAAUUCAUCAAUGAAAACUAAACGCAACGAGAUAAGAUAGUCAGGUAUUAAUCUAAGUCAUAAAUGGUCUUGAAGAUGCUAAGGGAUAAAUGGUCUUGAAGAUAUGCAUCAAGCCAAGGUGAUAGCAACUACACUAUUUAGCCAAAUAAUAACUCAGGUUCUUUGGCAAAUUUCCAAUCAAACAAGAAAAACGGAGAAACUACCCUCUCAACAAAAUACCACACAAGGGAAAGAAAUCAGCAAACACAGCUCAAGAUGCAAAUAGAUAUGUAAUUUUAUUCUGAUACUAUAUUUCCAUGGCCUCAAAACACAAUGUCCACCCCUUGAAGGCUUCUGAAACCAUCUUGCUGCCAUUACAGAUUGCAAAGCAUUCUGGGAGAUCCAUGGAAAGUGAAGUGAAGGGUCAGUUAGCAUGCCUCUACCCAAAAAGCAGAUUUUUUUUAGAAUUUUUUUAGAAGUAUUUUCUCAUCCCGGCAAAGCCAAACAAGAAGAAAUCCUGAUGAAUCCACCCUUGCUUACAAACAUCCGUAGGCACAGCACUCAAUUAUGCCCCAAUAGACUUCAUGAUGUAAUAGGACACUAUCAUAACAUGCUCAUAGCUGUAUUUAUAAUGAAAAAUACAAACCCAUUAAAUUGUGCUUGUAUUAGCA